rnacentral:rRNA from 1 species
UACGGGGGGGGCAAGCGUUGUUCGGAAUUACUGGGCGUAAAGGGCUCGUAGGCGGCCAACUAAGUCGGAUGUGAAAUCCCCAGGCUUAACCUGGGAACUGCAUCCGAUACUGGAUGGCUUGAAUCCGGGAGAGGGAUGCAGAAUUCCAGGUGUAGCGGUGAAAUGCGUAGAUAUCAGGAGGAACACCGGUGGCGAAGGCGGGAUCCUGGGCCAGUACUGACGCUGAGGAGCGAAAGCGUGGGGAGCAAACAGG